GGAAAACCAGUUUCCGGUUCCGUUGGGCUCAGUCCUCUCCUAAGCUACGAGUCUCUACCUUCUCAAGCCGCCGUCCCGCAAUCAGUCAUGGAUCAGGUAAUGCAGUUUGUUGAGCCAAGUCGGCAGUUCGUAAAGGACUCAAUUCGGCUGGUUAAAAGAUGCACCAAGCCCGACAGAAAAGAAGAUUGCCAUGGCCACAGCCAUAGGAUUUGCUAUCAUGGGAUUCAUUGGGUUCUUUGUGAAACUGAUCCAUAUCCCUAUUAAUAACAUUAUUGUUCCCUAGAAAAAAAUAACCCUUCCAGGAAGGCGUCAUGAAGGAAGAUAUGGGAAGGCAGUGGUACACACAGAGGAUCCGUGAGCUUCCAGGUCUCUCAACAGUAUGCACACACAGAGUGGUCAAUUACAAUUAACCUCGGGUCAGAAAUGUGAAGAGAAAAUGAACGAAAUGCUCAUCUGAUUUUCGUGCCUGCUCAGAACUUCCGGAGACCUGUGUAAUGGGCUGCGGGUGAAGAUUGUGGUACCUAUCUGAUUUGAUGACCUUAAAAAAAUAAUGGUUUCCAUGAAUGCUUUAAUUUAUGUGGCAGUUUUCGAAAACAUGUGACUUUUAUUACUGCAAAAACUUAGUCCUCAUUUUGUCCUUCAUCGACUAGGAACAGUCUUUGUGACUUUUACAUAGGGAAUUUUAAAGUUAAUUUGUAAUCUCUUUUUGAAGGAUUGCAGAAGGAAAAUGAGAUUAUAGUAAUUUACAACUCUGUUUUAAAUGUCAGCCUAAAGAAGUGAUGCUCAAUGUUUAAUAAAAUUUAAGAAAAAAAAAAAAGAAGGACUGGAAGAAUUGACCUUGUUGGAGUAGGUGUUGCCUUAUGGGACAAAGUCUUUUGUGGGGAUGUGUUGGCAGAUUUCAUAAAGCUCAUACUAGGUCCAGCAGGGAUCUUUCUCUCUUCCUGUGGAUCAGACUGUAUAACUCUAAGCUACUUCUCCAGCACCAUUUCUGCUUGCACACAAUAUGCUCCCCAUCAUGAUGAUAAUGGGGACUAACAUCUAAAACUGUUAAGCCCACAAUCAGAUGUUUUCUUUUGUAGAGUUGCCUUGGUCAUAGCAUCUGUUCACAGCACUAGAACAGUGACUAAAAUAGCUAUGUAGCUCUGACUGUCCUGGAACUCACUGUGUAGACCAGGCUGGCCUCAUAGAGCUCCACCUGCCUCUGCUGGGAUUAAAGGUGUCAGCCACCAUGCCCAGUCAUUCAGCAACUUUUAUCUUCCUAGAAUUUCGCCGUUUUAAUCAUCGUGAAUUAACUUUGUUGAUAUUCUGGUAAUUCUUGAAUUCUGCUUGCCAGUUUUUUAAUUGAGAAAUUUUGUUAUUGUUAAUUAGAGAAAUUUGCCAAUAAUUUUUUUUGUGUUUUUAAUCUGGUUUUAAUAUUGGAGGAUACGAUUAUAAAAUAAGUCUUAGUAUUCCUUCUUUUUCUGUUCCCUGGAGUAGUUGGGCAACAUUGGUGUUAGGUCAUCAUUGAAGUUUUGAUAGAAUUCAACAGUGAAUCUAUCUGAGCUUGAACUUUUUUAGCUA